rnacentral:rRNA from 1 species
GACGAACGCUGGCGGCGUGCUUAACACAUGCAAGUCGAACGGAAAGGCCCUGCUUUUGUGGGGUGCUCGAGUGGCGAACGGGUGAGUAACACGUGAGUAACCUGCCCUUGACUUUGGGAUAACUUCAGGAAACUGGGGCUAAUACCGGAUAGGAGCUCCUGCUGCAUGGUGGGGGUUGGAAAGUUUCGGCGGUUGGGGAUGGACUCGCGGCUUAUCAGCUUGUUGGUGGGGUAGUGGCUUACCAAGGCUUUGACGGGUAGCCGGCCUGAGAGGGUGACCGGCCACAUUGGGACUGAGAUACGGCCCAGACUCCUACGGGAGGCAGCAGUGGGGAAUAUUGCACAAUGGGUGGAAGCCUGAUGCAGCAACGCCGCGUGCGGGAUGACGGCCUUCGGGCUGUAAACCGCUUUCGCCUGUGACGAAGCGUGAGUGACGGUAAUGGGUAAAGAAGCACCGGCUAACUACGUG